GGAGAGAAAUAGUAUAGGGAUGACGGAGGAGGUCUUUCCUUUGCAUUUGUACCAAGCUGAGAUUUUUCCACAUCCCCCAAAAUGAUGGCUCCAUUAUGAACAUUUGCCAAAGUGAGAGGUGAGCCCAGAGAACUUUUCAUUUGAAAGCGAGGGGCUCUUGGUGGGGAGGUGGGGGUGGGGGUCUUGCAGGGCCUCCUCCCACCUUGCAGGGCCUUUUCACCAUCAUGACUUCUCCGAAGCCCAGUGUGCUGGGCCUGGGGGCUAACCUGAGCAAUGCGCUCCAGGUCUGGUCCCAAAUCCAAGGAUUCCACGAGGAGUCAGUCCGACAGGGCCAAGGCAGGUCACAAGGCAGGAAACCAGGAUAGGUCAGGCACAGGGUCAUAGGCAGGAUCUGGCAUACAGCAAUGUUGCUCCCGCAACCUGGGGCAGGAUCCGGCAGCCUUUUAUCUCUGUCGGGGUAACGGCUGGUCCUGAUCCCCUGGUGACUCACCUCCCUGUCUCGCCCGAAGGCAAGCACUCCUCCUGCGAGUACUCAGGUCUCUCCUUCUCUCAGACCUCAAUCUCUGCAGCUCAGGAGACGUCGGUGGGUUACUAGACCCAGAGGCCGCCUCAGCCUCCCCUGACCCAACCGGUAAUGGAGCAGCUGUAAGUGAUGGCCCAGCUGAAGGCAACAAGGUCAUCCCCACAUCUGGAGCCAGGGCAGGCUCAGGCCCCUGACUCGGCCCAGCUGGUGCUUGAUGCAGGGGAACCUGUGCAGACUGGGACUCUUCAGGAUCAGGCCCCAGACUUGGUUCAAAUGAUGCCUGAGGCAAAGGAUCCAGUGCAGACUGAGACUCCUCUGGUGCCGAGUCUGAGCCCGAGUCCCAGGCCAUCACACCCUGGCAGCUGUGACACACCGGCUCAUGAUAGCUGCCAAGUGUUAUCCCCACCACCAAACACCAGGCUUAAGAGUGACGGCAUGAAGCCUCACCCUCCCUCUGAGUUGGCUUCACCCCAUACGGUCAUCAUCACAAAGCAAUCAGGAAGUAGGCAAUUCUCCCUGUCCUCAAGCUGGAGCAAGAGAGAGGGAGGAGAAGGGCAUCUUUUGUUUAUUUUAUCCCUUUAAACAAGGCAUGCAUAGGCAACUGGUUCCACAUAACUCGCUUCCACGGGUAACAAGUUGACAGUGCCAGCCAUUCAAAGAUGGCGUCAUAAUUUGGCAAAGUGAAAGAGCCAUGCAGUCAGGGUGCAGCCAAUGGGGGCAUGGGGUGGGUGGGUGGCAAUCUGUCAGGGAUCUUUAGUGGGGAUUCCUAUAUUGCAACGGGUUGGACUAAUAAUAAUAAUAAUAAUAAUAAUAAUAAUAAUUUAUUUAUACCCCGCCCAUCUGGCUGGGUUUCCCCAGCCACCCUGGGCAGCGUCCAACAGAACACUAAAAUACAAUAACCUAUUAAACAUUAAAAGCUGCCCUAAACAAGGCUGCCUUCAGAUGUCUUCUAGAAGUCUGGUAGUUGUUUUUCUCUUUGACAUCUGGUGGGAGGGCGUUCCACAGGGUGGGUGCCACCACCAAGAAGGCCUUCUGCCUGGUUCCCUGUAAUCUCACUUCUCACAAUGAGGGAAUUGCCAGAAGGCCCUUGGCACUGGACCUCAGAGUCUGGGCAGAAUGAUGGGGGUGGAGAUGCUCCUUUAGGUAUACUGGGACGAGGCCAUUGAGGGCUUUAAAGGUCAGCACCAACACUUGGAAUUGUGCUCGGAAAUGUACUGGGAGCGAAUGUAAGUGUUUCAAGACCGGUGUUAUAUGGUCUCGGCGGCCGCUCCCAGUCACUAGUCUAGCUGCCGCAUUCUGGAUUAGUUGUAGUUUCUGGGUCACCUUCAAAGGUAGCCCCACGUAGAGCGCAUUGCAGUAGUCCAAGCGGGAGAUAACCAGAGCAUGCACCACUCUGGUGAGACAGUCUGUGGGCAGGGAGGGUCUCAGCCUGUGUAGAAGAUGGAGCUGGUAGACAGCUGCCCUGGACACAGAAUUGACCUGUGCCUCCAUGGACAGCUGGGAGUCCAGAAUGACUCCCAGGCUGCGCACUUGGUCCUUCAGGGGCACAGUUACCCCAUUCAGGACCAGGGAGUCCUCCACACCUGCCCGCCCGUCUCCUGUCCCCCCAAAACCGUACUUCUGUCUUGUCCCUAGAGUUGGGGUCCCUUUCAACUCUACAGUUAUAUGAUUCCAUGGGUUAGAAUGCACCCAUCUGUUGGGGGCAUGGGUUUGGAAUUCCACAUCCGAUGGGUGACCCUCAGGAUCCCUUCUCCACCUUUCUAGGAGUCUAUGAUUCCCUCUAUAUCAACACAGCUCAGUCCCUUCCUGAUGCCGUCACUGAAAGUACACCUGGAAAACGGUAACAAAAAAGCCCUGCAAAUUCCUUUUCCUCAACAACACACAGUCCUUCACUCCUAAAGCCUUUUGCUUUUCCUCUUGGCCUUUGAACACUUCAGUCCUUAGGAGAUACCUGGUGACGUUCCGCCUGGAUGAGAAGAUUGAUUCUGACCCG
rnacentral:lncRNA from 1 species